CUAGAUCAACCACAUGUUGUCAACUUUAAAUGUCUCUCAAAAGCAGUACGUCUGGAGAGUAUAUACCAUGAUGUUGCUGAUGAGGAAUCUGCAACAACCAUGAAAACCAUGGAUGGACAUGUUGAAGACUUCCGAGUUGGUAAAUUGCCAGAUUAAUCAUCUUAUACAAGUACACAAAUGCCUCAUAUUACUCAACUGACUGCUGUUGAACUUUCCUCUGAACAAACAUUCAACUACAUUCGGCCGAAGAUUUCAAUCUCAGACAGUGCUUAGCAGGUGACAGGUAUAACCAUGGUCAGUGACAAGGAAAUGAUAGUGAAUGGUAAACCUGUGACCCCAAGCUCAUAGAGAUCAGCCUCGACUUACUUCUUAAACUAACUCAAAAAGGCAGUUAUUGUUGCCCACAAUGGGAGGCGUUUUGAUUUUCCUGCAAUAAUUUCAGCAUAUACUUGUGUUUGUCAGUGUGAUUCUUUUGAAACAAAAAAAUGUGAAAAGUUUUAUGUUUGUUUCAAAAGUUAACAAUGAUUAUGUUGAUAAAAAUGCCCUAGAAAAUAGUCUCCUAGCAAAAGCUGCACACUACAAUUUUUAUCUAGUAAAGAAUGUGCUAAGAACAUGCCAAGAUUAUUAAGAUUUGUUGCGUUUGUUUGAUGAAAACAGCAACUGCGGAAAACUGGGUCUGGGCUGAAUGUUCAACAUUUAAAGAAAAUAUAUUGACGCUCUGGUCAAGAUGGACUUUAAGUACACUUACAUGGAAAAGCUCUGAAGGACAAACAUGCAUAACAAAUGACAAAAGAACUCUGGAAGCUGUUGUUCCAAAAUUUGAACACUUUUUUGGAAAAAAGGAAAAUGUGUGAAAUUGAUGUUCAAAUAUAUGCAUAGUUAAUGCUUAAAAACAUGAAUACCACUGUUGAGGAGAUAAUUGCAUGAAACUUUCAUAUUUAUUGUUCUCAUGUUAAAGAAAAGACAUGUCAAUAACUAAAAAAAUGACUCUUGUGAGUUUUGUUCCAUGUUCAUGUAUUAUUUGAAUUUAUCUCCAUAUUGCUUGGCUGCUGUAUUUCUGUGCGGUAAAAGUAUUCAUUCCAACGUAUGAUAGUUUUUAUUCCACCAGUUUGGUUUAAAUAUUGUUAUCUGAUUUAAUUUAAUGAGUAAAAUGCAUUUAUUUGGAAGAAAACACAUAAUACUUAUAAUAAACUAAGAUUAACACUAUGUAACAAAAAUAAAAGUGAUUUUUUAGCUUUUUUAUUGGCUGUAAACUGUACGGUUACUUGACAUUUCUUUUUCAAAACUACAUGGUAAACUAUCAUAAAUUGUCUUUUAAAUUGUUCUAUAGACAUUAUGGAAAAUAUUUCAAAUGAUUUCACCAGCUGUUCUUAUAUUUAACUAUAUUUUUAGGAAUUUAGUAAAAUUG